GGCACAGUAAGAACACCUAUAAAUUUCCAACUUCUUUAAUCAGCAUCCAUUUCUUCCAGGGCAGCUUUAGCAGCUGCCUUUGCUUCCUCUAGGAGAUCCUCUGGGACCUUCUGAUGUUGGCGGUUUGAUUCAUCACAGAUCCAACUCAUUUCCAACUCGAAAUCCUUAUCCUUUGCCUCAUCAUGCACUCCAUAAAUGAUCUUGGCUACUUCAAUAACCCCUUGCCGACAAGUCAAUUCAGAGAGCUUCAACUUUUCAAUUUCCGUUUUUGCAGCUUGCCUACCCUUUCCAAUUGCAGCACCAUAGUAUCUGUAGGAAACACCAGAUGGUUCAACCAUGUACAAUUGUGGUCCAUCUCUAUCAUAACCUCCAAGAAUUACACCACAUCCAAAAGGUCUGAGCCACCAGUAAAGUGUACAGAGAUGAACAUAACUAGCCACACGAUCAGCUAGUUCCUUAACAGGAAUUGGUUCACCAUAAACACUUUCGUAGUUGGUUGCUUCAGACUUAGCUCGAGCAACUAUUUGUCUUCCAUCUGCUGCUAAUCCG
rnacentral:misc_RNA from 1 species